rnacentral:rRNA from 1 species
AUUGAACGCUGGCGGCAGGCCUAACACAUGCAAGUCGAGCGAGCGGCGGACGGGUGAGUAAUGUCUGGGAAACUGCCUGAUGGAGGGGGAUAACUACUGGAAACGGUAGCUAAUACCGCAUACCAUCAGAUGUGCCCAGAGGGGAUUAGCUAGUAGGUGGGGAAACGGCUCACCUAGGCGACGAUCCCUAGCGGGUCUGAGAGGAUGACCAGCCACACUGGAACUGAGACACGGUCCAGAGUCUUACGGGAGGCAGCAGGGGGGAAUAUGGCACAAUGGGCGCAAGCCGGAUGCAGCCAUGCCGGGUGUGGGAAGAAGGUCUUCGGAUGGUAAAGCACUUUAAGUUGGGAGGCGUUACCAACAGAAUAAGCACCGGCUAACUCCGUGCCAGCAGCCGGGUAAUUC